UGACUCACCCUUGAAAAGUUAAAAGCUCAAGGGCUUGGCCAGAUGGGAAGAAGGGCAAAGUGGCAACACUCCAGAUUGAGUUGAGAGACCUGCAUUCUGACCAUCCAGGUACCCCUAAACCACAUUUGUUUCCUGGUGAAUAAAUGUCUUCCCUGAAGAAGAGGCUGACCUGGGGAGCUAGUAAAAGAGAACUCCUGAACAACCUGAGAUAACUGUGAGCCCAACAAAAGGAUCAGCCUGCCAGGAAGCAAGGCAGACUGGGGUGUGGUAAAUAGAGGACUGAAGGAGAGACAGUGAUUUCACAUGUUAAAAGAACUGCUCUUUGUCAAGGGCAGACACCUCCCCCUGGUCCCUGAGUGGGUCCUGCAGGGGAAGCAGCCAGCAGGGUUUGCCCCUUGGGCAGUGUGCCUUGUGCUUGGACCCACAGGCCAUGGCCCUUGGGGAUGAGCUUGCAGGAGAGCCCCUCUCCUUCUGAGAGGAGGGAGACUUUGUGGCUUGGGAACCUGGCCUGAGGUCCUUUUCUCAGGGGCUGAGCCACUCCCAGGCUCAAAGCUGCAGUGACACGCCAAGCCAGUGUGUAGGUCCUGGGCAUUGUGACCUCAGCUGUUCUGCACCCAGAGAGGCAGUCCUCCUGACCUCACCUUGGCCAGUAACCUGCACAGGACAGUGGCUUAGUCACAGGGGCCCGUUGUGCAGAGGCUGGGAAGUUGAACACUCUGGCCGCCUCCACCAUGUCGGCCAAGAGGGCAGAACUGAAGAAAAAUCUGAUAUGUCUUCCAGGAGCCGAGUAAUAUGAACAUAUCUUUCUGAAACCACAUCUUGCUACUGAUUGGGAAGAGAGCAAAGCAAGAAGAAUUUAGAUGAGGAGAAUUAAAAUUGGAUAAGUGGAGAUGGGUGCACAGAUGUGAGCAACACUUAAAGAAAAAAUAGCAAGUUGAAAACAUUGAAUAAUAAAAUGAAUGUCUAUCAUAUUCUUAUCAGUUUCAAACAUGUCAUACCUGAUUGCAAAUCACCAGUACUUUAAAAAGUAUCUGAUAUACCUUAGCCAUUCAAUAAACAUCUCUUUCAGUAUGUUUUAAUAUAAUUG
rnacentral:lncRNA from 9 species